rnacentral:lncRNA from 1 species
AGAGCGCAGGGGCUGAAGCCGUGCUGCCAGCGUGGGGCUGGGGAAGGCAGUCCCUGGGGCUCGGCUGGCCUUGGGGCACUGAGGCAGCUGCUGCCAGCUCUCCUGCCUCCUGCUGCAGCUGCCCGAGUGCUUUGGCACAGGCCUUUGGCCCCUGGGCCCUGUGGCAGCAGGAUGGUGUUUCACACACUUGUGUUCCACAAGUAGAUGGCCAGAAGGAUGUGGAGCCUGCAUGAAAGGCUCGUGGAGCUCCUGCAGGAAAAUGACGGCGUCAUGCUCAGGAUGACCACGGUUCUCCUCAGAGCUGUAUUUCUCUGCAAAGAGGCCCCAAUGACCAGCACCCUCGCCCUGCAGCUGGCUGAGGCGCUCCUGCCACUCUUUGACAACGAGGAUAGCCAGGUGCAGUUGAGCUCCAUGUUUAUCUUCCGAGACAUGCUGGAUCAUUUUCCGGAAGAGGAAAAAAAGGCCCUGAAGGCACACGUGCGCCAGAGCCUGCUGCCACUCUCCUUCCACUGCCAUGAUGAGAACCAGCGAGUGGCAGAGGUGAGGACUCGGCAGCUGCUGCUGUUCCCCUGGCAGGGGCUGGGCUGCCUCCUGCCCUGGCACCUCGCAGGCUGCAGCCUCCUCCAGGCCCUGGCACAGGGACGGGUCCUGUGCCCUGGGCUGUGGGGCCAUCUCCGCGUCUCUG